GACCAAUUAGCAAGCACAGUUGGCUAGAACAUGGUGCUAAUAAGGCCACGGUCAGGGGUUCAAUUCCCUUAUGGGCUG
rnacentral:tRNA from 1 species